UACAGAGGGUGCGAGCGUUGUCCGGAAUCACUGGGCGUAAAGGGCGCGUAGGCGGCCUGAUAAGUCGGGGUGAAAUCCUGUGGCUUAACCACAGGGCUGCCUCCGAGACUGUCGGGCUCGAGCACAGUAGAGGCAGGUGGAAUUCCCGGUGUAGCGGUGGAAUGCGUAGAGAUCGGGAAGAACAUCGGUGGCGAAGGCGGCCUGCUGGGCUGUUGCUGACGCUGAGGCGCGACAGCGUGGGGAGCAAACCGG
rnacentral:rRNA from 1 species